AACGUACGCUGGCGGCACGCCUAACACAUGCAAGUCGAACGAAGUAGCAAUACUUAGUGGCAGACGGGUGAGUAACAUGUAGGUAUCUGCCCUUUUGGCCUGGAAUAACACGAGGAAACUUGUGCUAAUACCGGAUAAGUCUUUACGGAGAAAGCUUUAUGCACCAUUGGAUGAGCCUGCACUUGAUUAGUUUGUUGGUGGGGUAAUGGCCUACCAAGACUGUGAUCAAUAGCUGAUUUGAGAGGAUGAUCAGCCACAUUGGGACUGAGACACGGCCCAAACUCCUACGGGAGGCAGCAGUGGGGAAUCUUGCACAAUGGAGGAAACUCUGAUGCAGCGAUGCCGCGUGAGUGAAGAAGGCCCUUGGGUUGUAAAGCUCUUUCGUCGGGGAAGAAAAUGACUGUACCCGAAUAAGAAGGUCCGGCUAACUUCGUGCCAGCAGCCGCGGUAAUACGAAGGGACCUAGCGUAGUUCGGAAUUACUGGGCUUAAAGAGUUCGUAGGUGGUUGAAAAAGUUAGUGGUGAAAUCCCAGAGCUUAACUCUGGAACUGCCAUUAAAACUUUUCAGCUAGAGUAUGAUAGAGGAAAGCAGAAUUUCUAGUGUAGAGGUGAAAUUCGUAGAUAUUAGAAAGAAUACCAAUUGCGAAGGCAGCUUUCUGGAUCAUUACUGACACUGAGGAACGAAAGCAUGGGUAGCGAAGAGGAUUAGAUACCCUCGUAGUCCAUGCCGUAAACGAUGUGUGUUAGACGUUGGAAAUUUAUUUUCAGUGUCGCAGGGAAACCGAUAAACACACCGCCUGGGGAGUACGACCGCAAGGUUAAAACUCAAAUGAAUUGACGGGGACCCGCACAAGUAGUGGAGCAUGUGGUUUAAUUCGAAGAUACGCGCAGAACCUUACCAACACUUGACAUGUUCGUCGCGACUCUAAGAGAUUAGAGUUUUCGGUUCGGCCGGACGAAACACAGGUGCUGCAUGGCUGUCGUCAGCUCGUGUCGUGAGAUGUUGGGUUAAGUCCCGCAACGAGCGCAACCCUCACUUUUAGUUGCCAUCAUUAAGUUGGGCACUCUGAAAGAACUGCCAGUGAUAAGCUGGAGGAAGGUGGGGAUGACGUCAAGUCCUCAUGGCCCUUACGUGUUGGGCUACACACGUGCUACAAUGGUAUCUACAACAGGAAGCAAGACUGCGAAGUUAAGCAAAUCCCUAAAAGAUACCUCAGUUCGGAUUGCACUCUGCAACUCGAGUGCAUGAAGCUGGAAUUACUAGUAAUCGUGGAUCAGCGUGCCACGGUGAAUGCGUUCCCGGGUCU
rnacentral:rRNA from 1 species